GUUGAUGUUAACUUUAUGAAAGGAACUACCACUACAAUCUAUUUUAGGUGACCAAUAUUUCCCUUCGCAGAAUUCAAGCAUGACUUCUGUCCCCCCUUACUUUUGUGUAAAAAAAAUUGUACACAAACCUGUUGGAGUAUAACUGUAGCCUUGUAGGCUACUGUUUAAUCUUCCAUGGAUUAUAGGAGGGGCAGUACUCGAUUUAGGUAUAGUUGUUAGUUAUGACUAGUUUAUCUUAAAUGCAUCGCAAAGGUCAUGUUUACAAUUACUAAUGCUACAGAUGAUGCUCAGAACAUUGAAAAACAUUUGACUUUAGUUCAUUACAUGCUAAAUCAAUACUUAACUUGUAAGUAGGAUUUAGCCCGUGGGUAUGCCUUAUGUUUUGAGUUGACUUUUAUUAUUCAGGAUCAGGCCCUGAAAAAACCAUGGUGCAGCAGUCUAAUUUUCUUGGCAGUCAACCUAAUUUUGGUAGGUACCAGGCAGCAGAAAGAAAUUCUUUCUCAGGUGAUGUCAUCAUCACAUUUGAUCCAUGUCAAGCACAGCAUUGUUAUAAUUAAUUGGCUGGGUAGUCCAGACGAUAUCAUGACUAACCUUGAAAUUGAUGGUCGGGAUUUAUUUCCUACAUAAUUUCUGUUCUCUUUUUAGUUAAUGUUUAGAAUUUUCUUCCCACACAAUUUUCUUUUUUAACUUUAAAGCAAUGAACAGGAACGUUUGAUGAUUAUCAAACGCCAUCCUGUCAAUCAGACAGCUAUUAAAUACAAUCUAUAGUUGUCUCACAACCAACCCAGAAUAAACAUGGCACCUCUAACCUCACCAAUUAUUUUUAUGAUCUAGUAUGUUUGCAUUUGUAUAAUUUUCGAGUAUGUUCUUGCCAUGAAGCAACUUUUGGGCUAAUUAAAAAUGAAAAUUCUAUCGAUGACUCUCAAAUGAGGGGGAAAAAGUGCUAGACAUCACAAUCUCUCUGAAGAAACGCAUAUAAGAUUCUUAAUUUUUUUGUUCCUCUGAAGCUACCUCAAGCUUGCAAAGAUUUCUGAAUUUUGGCAUCGGCCUUUAUAGGAAGAAUUGCGAUAUGCGACAAGCCAGCUGCUCAUCAUGUUUUCCUCUCAGUCAGCUGUCAUGCCAUGAAUAGAGCCCUUGUCGUACAGUCAUCUUAUUUAAUCCUUUAUAUGCAAGCGGGUCCAUUGGUUGGUGCCUCUCAGUGACUAAUGGGAUGCUGUUUGGAUGUUUCGAGGUGAUUUGAUCGAUUGCAAGCGGGCCUGUUGGUUGGUGCCUCCAGAUGACUAAGGAGGGGCUACAUAUUAAAACACUAAUUUUGUUUGGUUUAAAGCUGUUGUCAGCUUCCUGAGUCUGCAGGAACCAUGCUCUGGAUCCUUGCUCUGAAACAUUGUGAUGCUUUCAAGCGCAUAAAUUGCCAGGGUAGCACAGGGCUCAUUGUUUUCGAAUCGCUUCAUCAUGCAUAUCUCUUUUUGGAGUUUCAUCACACUUAUCUCUUUAUUGAGUUUCACUUUGGUAAUGCUGGUUCUUUUUUUCCUGUCAUGUUUAACAGGGAACAUACCAGGGGGCCACACCUCAUGGGGCAACUUACCGCCGUCGCUGCAACCUCCUCUUGAAGGCAGUUGAGGGAAUGUGCAUGGAAAUUUCACUUGCAAAGAAUGGUUGCAUCCUAUGUACAAAUGUGGUUCUUCUGUCAUGAGAUGGUUGUCUUUCUAUACCGAAUGCAAGUAGCACUCCUAUUGAGAAGUGAAUCUAGUUCAUUUGAAAUGCUGCUAUUUGACAGGAAGCUUUCCUUU